rnacentral:rRNA from 1 species
UUAAGCAUAUCAGUAAGCAGAGGAAAAGAAAACAACUGUGAUUCCCUUAGUAACUGCGAGUGAAGCGGGAAAAGCCCAUCGUUUAAUCUUCCCGGACUGUGGACGGGACGAAAUGUAACGGUAUGGAUAGGUUCUCUACCAACAAGGUCUGAUCAAAGUCCUCCGGAUUGAGGUGCCAAAGAGGGUGACAGCCCCGUGUGUGAUUGGACUGAGUUGGGUAUGUGGCCGAUUCCGAGAGUCGGGUUGUUUGGGACUGCAACCUAAAGCAGGUGGUAAACUCCACCCAAGGCUAAAUAUUGACACGAAACCGAUAGCGAACAAGUACUGUGAAGGAAAGUUGAAAAGAACUCUGAAAAGAGAGUUAAAAGUACGUGAAACCGCUAACGGGGAAGCGGAAGGCAGUGUCGAGAUCGAGUGAGUGAGUCAAUUUAAGCGUUUGCAUAAAGUGGGCGUUUGAUUUGGCUAGCUUUGCUUGAUGCGUCAGGGCUAUUGGUGUGCGACGGCUCAAUCUUCAGCAUGGCUUUCACGGCGAAUAAUUUAUUAGGGUUCGUGGAUGCGGCUGGGGAUCCGCCUCGUGUGCUGAUAGGUGUUAUUGAAGCGUUGGUGAUGUAUUGUCGGUUGGUGCGGUGUGGUGGUUCGUUCUGGUCACAGUGUGGCUACGUGCGGACAAGUCAUGUGGUAGUUCAACAACCAAUGCUAGUUCCUGGCGUGAUACCUAACCUUC